rnacentral:rRNA from 1 species
GACGAACGCUGGCGGCGUGCUUAACACAUGCAAGUCGAACGGAUCUUCUCUGGACAGUAAUGUUUGGGGUUGGUUAGUGGCGAACGGGUGAGUAACACGUGAGAAACCUGCCCUGAAGACGGGGAUAACUGACCGAAAGGUCUGCUAAUACCCGAUGUCCUCGCGUGAACGCAUGGUUGUGUGAGGAAAUGGAUUCCGCUUUAGGAGGGUCUCGCGGGCUAUCAGCUUGUUGGUGAGGUAAUGGCUCACCAAGGCGACGACGGCUAGCUGGUCUGAGAGGACGACCAGCCACACUGGGACUGAGACACGGCCCAGACUCCUACGGGAGGCAGCAGUGGGGAAUCUUGCGCAAUGGGCGGAAGCCUGACGCAGCAACGCCGCGUGUGGGAUGACGGCUUUCGGGUUGUAAACCACUUUCAGCAGGAACGAAAUUGACGGUACCUGCAGAAGAAGCACCGGCCAACUACGUGCCAGCCGCCGCGGUAA